ensembl:lncRNA
GCCCCGGCCCUCUGGGCAGGCUGCGGCUCCUGUGGGCUGGGUGUUCCCCAGCAGCGAGGCAGGGCUCCGGCCACACGCAUCCCGCUCGCUCUGAGAGGGGCCACCUGGGGGCUGCUGGGCUGACUGUGAGCGUUCUCACCCACCCCUCGACCAGCGAGCAGCUUCGUCCCGUAGGCCCGGGUUGUCAGGAGCACCGAGGAGUCCCCCCGCAGUGGCCCUGGCAGGUCAGCCCGAGAGAGCAGGGCCGCCACGUCUGCGGGGGCAGCCUCAUCAGCCUCCGUGGGUGCUGCCCGCCGCCCACUGCGUCUGCAGCUCUGUGAGCCUGACCGUCCAGCUGGGAGCAUCUGUCCUGCACACCAGCCCCCCAGGCUGUCUUCGUGGCUGUGCUCUGCGUCAUCUGACACCCCUCCUUCAACGGGAAUGUGCCUGCUGAAGCUGGCUCCGCUGUGCCCGUCUCCCAAACCGUCAGGCCCAUCCCUCUGGCCUCGGCAGGCUCCUCCUUCCCACCGGGCACCCUCUGCUGGCUCACCGGCUGGGGGGACAUCAGGCAGGAUGCCUCCUGCAGUGGCCCUGCCAGAGCCCCAUAGGCUUCAGGAGGUGGACGUGCACAUUGUCAGCCUGCAGAGCUGCCGCAGGCUCUCCUGCUUGGAGCCCGUCACCAAGGAGAUGCUGGGUGCUGGCCACUGCCAGGGCCAGAAGGGCUUCUGCAAGCUCAGACCCCCAUUGGCACUCCUGCCCUGGUCCUUCAUUGGGCCUGGGGAGCCACCGGACCCCUCCGGGCCUGUUUCCUGCUCAGCACAGUGAGGACAGAUCAAGGAUGAAGCUGCUGCAUGGACACCUGGAGCCCCA